GGUUAACGCUGGCGGCGUGCCUAACACAUGCAAGUCGAACGGUUCUAAGCGCGAGCUUAGGAUAGUGGCGAACGGGUGAGUAAAAAGGUAGGAAUCUACCCCUUGGACGGAGAUAGCUACUGGAAACGGUAGGUAAACUUCGAUAAGCCCGAGAGGGGAAAGUGGUGAGACAGCCGAGGGAUGAGCCUACUCUCCAUCAGGUAGUUGGUGAGAUAAAAGCUUACCAAGCCGAUGACGGAUAACCGGUGUGAGAGCAUGAACGGUCACAAGGGCACUGAGAGACGGGCCCUACUCCUACGGGAGGCAGCAGUGGGGAAUUUUGGACAAUGGGCGAAAGCCUGAUCCAGCCAUUCCGCGUGCAGGAUGAAGGCCCUCGGGUUGUAAACUGCUUUUGUACAGAACGAAAAAGCUCUGGCUAAUACCUGGAGUCCAUGACGGUACUGUAAGAAUAAGCACCGGCUAACUACGUG
rnacentral:rRNA from 1 species